AUGGUACUCCCUCCGUCCGAAAAUACUCGUCAUCAAAAUGAAAAAAACAGAUGUAUCUAGAACUAAGAUACGUCUAGAUACAUCCUUUUUAUCCAUUUUGAUGGCAAGUAUUUCCGGACGAAAGGAGUAUAUA
rnacentral:pre_miRNA from 1 species